rnacentral:rRNA from 1 species
CUUAGGGAGGAGCUUGCGUCACAUUAGUUAGUUGGUGGGGUAAAGGCCUACCAAGACUAUGAUGUGUAGCCGGGCUGAGAGGUUGAACGGCCACAUUGGGACUGAGACACGGCCCAAACUCCUACGGGAGGCAGCAGUAGGGAAUUUUCGGCAAUGGAGGAAACUCUGACCGAGCAACGCCGCGUGAACGAUGAAGUAUUUCGGUACGUAAAGUUCUUUUAUUAGGGAAGAAUAAAUGAUGGAAAAAUCAUUCUGACGGUACCUAAUGAAUAAGCCCCGGCUAACUAUGUGCCAGCAGCCGCGGUAAUACAUAGGGGGCAAGCGUUAUCCGGAAUUAUUGGGCGUAAAGGGUGCGUAGGCGGUUAAAUAAGUUUAUGGUCUAAGUGCAAUGCUCAACAUUGUGAUGCUAUAAAAACUGUUUAGCUAGAGUAAGAUAGAGGCAAGUGGAAUUCCAUGUGUAGUGGUAAAAUGCGUAAAUAUAUGGAGGAACACCAGUAGCGAAGGCGGCUUGCUGGGUCUUUACUGACGCUGAGGCACGAAAGCGUGGGGAGCAAACAGGAUUAGAUACCCUGGUAGUCCACGCCGUAAACGAUGAGUACUAAACGUUGGGUAAAACCAGUGUUGAAGUUAACACAUUAAGUACUCCGCCUGAGUAGUACGUACGCAAGUAUGAAACUUAAAGGAAUUGACGGGACUCCGCACAAGCGGUGGAUCAUGUUGUUUAAUUCGAAGGUACCCGAAAAACCUCACCAGGUCUUGACAUGCUUCUGCAAAACUGUAGAAACACAGUGGAGGUUAUCAGUUGCACAGGUGGUGCAUGGUUGUCGUCAGCUCGUGUCGUGAGAUGUUGGGUUAAGUCCCGCAACGAGCGCAACCCUUAUUGUUAGUUACCAGCACGUAAUGGUGGGGACUUUAGCA